rnacentral:lncRNA from 1 species
UGACAGAAGACACUCCCUCCAACAAAUGAAACGCACCCUUGGAGCGAGGCGAGCAAAUUAAUUACUUAAAAAAAAAAAAAGUUCCUUUGUGUUGUGCUGUUUUUAUUUUGCAUUCAUUUUAACUCUACCAAAAAAAUACUUGGUGCUAGCAAUGCUGUCGUGUUAGCAUUCAGCUAGCUAACCUGCAGCCAACAUGUUGCUCCAUCUCUCCACCUGUGUCACCUCAAACUACAGGCCUCGCGCUGGAGGUUCUUACUCCUGGGGACCAACUCCUGAAACUCCCCCAAAGGAUUCCCUCCCAGUUCUUCACUUCACCAAGGAAGCACAGUGCCUCCACGUCAGUGCUGUUCCAGAGUGAACGCAGUGGGACGGGAUGCAGCGUUAAUGCCAUUCAACGAGAACUAUGACUAAGUGUGUUCGUCAAUGCCGCUUCUUCCAGGACUCAGGCGAGGCGAUGACGAGACGGCACAGACGUCAUCAAACACUAACUGAUGUCAACGUGCAAUAUCGCUGACAGAAAAAGACGAGACUGAAGCGGAUCAGAGGAGAAUAUCUUUGUUUGUUUAUUGUCCACUAUAUCACAAUCUCAGAUACAAGCUUUUCUUUAAUACCUGCAGAAUGUCCUGCUUUGUUUUCUGAUAAACGUAGACUUCAGCACCUGUUUGCAGACAAAGUAUUUCACCUAAUUUAGUUAGUUGAACAGCGUAGGAGGACGCUUGUUGUUUGUGUUAAAGGUGCAGUCUGUGCCUCAGAUGCACCCAAGUUCUGUUGUAUAGCUGCCACGUCUAAGGAGAUGGAUUGUCUUCAUAUUUGCUUUGAUAUUGUUUGACUUUGACGUGCAUGGAGGUGUGUUAUAUUAGUUUUUUCGCUCUCAUUAUGUUAUUGCUUCUGUUUCUAUUGUAAAUAUAAGUAAAGAUAUUUAAUUGUGUUUAUUUUGACUGAUAUUGCGAUGGAAUGAUAAUUUAUAUGCAUUAUUAUCAUAUAUCAUACAAAUACAAUAGAAUAUGAUUCGUACACUCGGAUUCUUAAUGCUCAGCCUUACUGUAUGACGUCUGAAUGAGCAUGUGAGGGGUCGUCUUUGACUUCCUUGCCUCUCCAAAGGGCUGCAAAGAUGGUCUGCUGUAUAAAGCCAGUUAUAUGUUGUAUUGUUGGAAAGACUUUCCCUUCACUUCCACUGCAAAUAUCUGAUUCCUCAUGCAUGAUGGGAGUCAGUGCCCACAGAUUGGACACCAGUUGGAAUAAUUGGGUCUAAUAUUUCGGUCGACAAUCGACUAUAAAGUGAAGCGGCAGUAAUCUAGUAUAUACUUUCCUCCAGUCAAAGUUUAAUUAAAAUGCUUAAAACUUGCUUUUGUACGGGUGUUCAAAUGUCUAUUUUAAUGAAGUACUUGUUGUUUUAAUUGACUCUGACACUAAGAAGUGAAGAAUCUUUGUGUAUCUAUGUCGAAACCUUUGGUGACAUUCUUCCUCCCGAAGCAGUUAAAUGACUUUGUAUCUGCGACGGGUUUUAAUUCAGUCAGGUUUUAGCUGUUGCCAUAGAUUUUAUAAAUAAAUCCUCGGCUGUGAGGUUG